rnacentral:tRNA from 1 species
GACUCGUUAGCUCAGUUGGUAGAGCACGUCCCUUUUAAGGAUGGGGUCCUGGGUUCGAACCCCAGACGAGUCA